UCUCACCUAUCCCCUCUCUGUCAUUUCUCCCUUGCCCCAUCUACGGUAUUUUUCUCUCGCCUUAGGGUUCCCGUCGAUGUCGCCGAUUCUCCCCCUGAGUCCAUCCUUUCUCUCAAAUGAUCCAGGCGAGCGAGUCCGAAGACGGCGGCGGCACGCGAGAUCUCCUGCGACGAGUGCGGCCCGGUGCUCGGGGUUCACUAUGGAGGCGGUGCUGGGUGCGCGGUCUUUCCUACUCCAUCCACCAUCGCCCUAGCCCCUCCUCCUCUGCCGGAACCCAACCGCCCUUCAAUCCUCCUCCCAUUGAAGACUGCCGGAACAACCAUCCUGACGCCGCCCCUGCCGGCUCGUUCGCGUUCUAGAUGGGGCUCGACCAUCACAUUUCCCACGCGCAUGGGAAGGGCUCCAAAACGAGAUCUUGCAGCCCAUGCCCGAGCAUCAGCAUCGCUCUGUCUCCGGCGCAAAAGGGGAAAUAGGAGCCACGAGGACCUGGCCAUGAAGAGGCGGGGGAGGCCCUGCAGGUACAAGCCAGACGGGUUGCGCCCCUCGCCAUCGCUGUCUCAGCCCUCCACCGCCCUCGUCGUGGUGCCAGCCCCUGGCCCCGAGAAGCGGCGGGGAAGGCUACCCAGGUCUGGCAAGAUGCGGCAGUUGGCCUCCCUCGCUCGGCUCGUCGUUUGGUGCCCCGCCGCGGAGAUGGAGCACAAGAAGGUCAAGACCUAAUGCGUUGAUAUGUUCAAAAAGCAAAAAAAAAGGGGAGGGGGAAGCCGUGGAGAGAUUGACGGAUCUGAGCGCCAUCCCUUGCCGUGGGUCGCGAACCUCAAUGCUUCCCGAGGUCGACGCCAUCUCACUCCAUCUUCGACGCAACGGGCUGCAGCGGCGCAAACUGACCAUCAGGUGCGGCGUCCUCCACAGCUUCCGCCUUAAUGAGGAAGGAUUACAAGGAACGGGAGAGCCAUCGCCUCGACUCUGUCCUGGAUAGACUCGACUGGGGUUGCUACAGAAAACAACAAAGUUGGGUAAACUGAGUAGAAUUACAGGUAGAUUGUGUGAAAUGGGAAUCGAGUCAGGUGGCGUGCUUGCCCGCAAAAACAACAGUGACAUUGAAGAAGAGGUCCAAGGAGAGGAUCCUUAGAGCAUCUCCAGCUGUCUCCCCGACGAGGCCCCCAGGACGGCGAUUUGUCAUCCGGAUGGACGAAAACGGUCCAGUCGCGCCCCCGGUUCCUCGUUUUCGUCCGGAUUAGGCCUUUCAUCCGUCCGGAGAGCCCAGGCCAUCCCCGGCCCCCCGGGGAGCGCUCGGGGACUCCGGAUGAGAGAAAAUCGCGGGAACCGUUUGGUGGCCCCGACCUGUCGGCGACAAUGGCAUGGGUUUCUACGGCAAUACCCUCGUCUUCCCGAUCUACGGCACUACCCUCGUCUUCCCGAUCUACGGCAAUACCAUCGUCGAACGAAAGCUUUGAACUCUCAAGUGGUGCAACAUAGACAAAUUAUAUAUAAUUCGAACAAACAUAAAAAUACAUAUAAAAACUUUAAAACAAACUUUAACUAUUUCUUCUUCCUAGAUGGCCCCGCCUCAUCGUCGUGGCGGCGACGCUUCCGGCUCGUCACCUCCUCGUCGGAGGAAGUUGAGUCCUCCUCGUCGUCAUCCUCAUCAGCCUCUUCGUCCUCCUCCUCCUCCUCCUGCUUCUCCUCCUCUUCCUCGGUCUCUUCCUCGGCCUGCUCCUCGGUCUGCUCCUCGGCCUCUUCGUCCUCCUCCUCGUCGUCAUCCCAUUCGUCCUCGCUGGCCGGCGGGGGGGGGAAUCGUCGCUGCUGGACGAUGCAGCUGGAUCCCACCAAUGGCGCCAUCCAGGCGCCUUCCCCUCGCUGUCGGUGUCCGAUGGCCAAGAGCGAUCGCUCAUGGUUGACAGAAGAUGGUGAGGAGAGAAUAGAUGAAUGGCGUCGGCCGUUGGAAACCGUAUAUGUAGGUCUCUCGACGAAGAGAGCGGCGGUUGCUCUUCCGCGGAGUUCAUGCUCCAUUACGGCGGUUCUCGCGUCGAGGCUACUUCGACCGUUCCCGACGAGUCGUUUGGGCUCUCCAGACCACUUUGCGGACCAUUAUUACGGCGGUUCAAAGCGACGAGGGCACUCCGACGGUUGCCCUUCCCGGCGACACCGUCGCUAUGCACGCGGUGGGUGAAGGCGACCAUGGGCUCGCCACUGGGAAAAUGGGCCUCCCAGGCCAAAAAAUACAUCCAUCCGGCGCUAAAUAGCGCCGGAUUUCGGCCUGGGGAGCCCCAACGGCUGGGGAUGCUCUUAGCACACUCUGGAUCCAGAGUCUCUCGGGUGGAUGAAGAGGAUGUUGUUGUGCCGAAAGAAAACAUGGCAAUUGCAAGGCAUGGAAGCCGGGCUAUGUUUCAAUAAUUUGAACCAUAAUUGUAUGGGCAGGCACAUACGGGAAGUGCUCGGUUUGGAUUACUUUUGUUUCCAUGCUGGAGUCAGCAGGAGGGGAAUUGGAGGUUCUUGGUCCUCUGCAAAAUCAGUCCGCCAGCUUGCCCCAAGAGAAGAGUUGGAUCAAAACAACAUCAAUCUGAUCAAGCACACAUGGCUAGAGUAGCAUACGAGGAAGAAUUUGACUGUCAUGGAUCAUGUUGGUAUAGAAGCACAUGUUUGCUCUUCUGUCGCAUAUAGACAUUGGAACAUAUACAUUCAUGUGCUAGAGCUUGUUUGGUCAGGAGAUGCCAGCCCAAAAGUUAGAAAAUCAUGCAACAAAUUUAUUUUAAAGGACCAGCCAGCUAUUUACGGAUGUGUCUACCAUUAGCCAGUGCUCAUAUAUAAGCGAUGUGUUUGUUUGUAUUCCCGGGUACACACCGGCGUAGACCGCCUUCCUGCACUAGGAACUCUCCAUAUUGCCCGCUUGGCUGCACUAGGGACUUGCCGCCGUCGACACCUGUCUGCCGAGACUUACUACCGACCACGACGCAAGCCGCUAAUGACGCCUGUCUUGCAGCUGACCCCGACGCACCCUACCUAGACCAGGAGGUUGUCGCCACCGCAUUGUUUUUCUCCACCGGGAGGUCAUCUCUCGAAGGUUAAUUCUGUUCCGGUUUAGGAAAUCUGCAGCAAUCAAACCAUUUACCGCGUGGUCUGAUUUUUUGUGCAAUUGAUUUUUUUCACUAGAUGCAGACGAGUUGAAACAUGGUAUCUGAAGUUUUGCCCUAUUCGUACCACAUUAUUUUGCACUGUCGACGUUCUGUACUCUGAACUUCAUAGAAAAGUGGAGCCAUCAGUUUUGCUUAUAGCUACAUUGCCGUGGGCGUUUUUGUUCUGGUCCACUUAUUUCGUGAAGCUUCCGGUAAGAAAGCUCCUUGAAUACAAGUGGAAUUCAAUGAUUUCCUCGAGAAAAAUACAUGAGCAUUUCAAUAACUUAUCAUGGUCAAGGCGCUGCACCCUAGAUUUGGGAGGAGACCCGGCGUGGCAGGGAUUACAUUGACUGCCACACCGCCAAUGUUGUUCCCUGUAAUCCUAAACCUCCCUCCCAGCAAUGUUGACAUGGAGUUCUUCCUGGUCCCGGUGUCCUUCAGACAGUCUGGUUUAGGACGGAUUGAUGGAUGUCUACAUCAAAUGUAGGAAAGAUGGAAAGAACUUCAGUACACCAAUAUGCAAUUUCUGGUGUAUAUUCUUUAAAAAUCUGCAUUUUUGAUUGACCUGAACCUACUUGUGUUUCUUGUGGAAUUACGGUCAUCUAAAAUGAAGCUUAUAUUUUGUUC